rnacentral:rRNA from 1 species
UAGUCAUAUGCUUGUCUCAAAGAUUAAGCCAUGCAUGUCUAAGUAUAAACUGCUUUAUACUGUGAAACUGCGAAUGGCUCAUUAAAUCAGUUAUAGUUUAUUUGAUGGUACUUACUUACUCGGAUACCCGUAGUAAUUCUAGAGCUAAUACGUGCGUACAUCCCGACUUCUGGAAGGGACGUAUUUAUUAGAUAAAAGGCCGACCGGGCUUGCCCGACUCGCGGUGACUCAUGAUAACUUCACGAAUCGCAUGGCCUUGCGCCGGCGAUGUUUCAUUCAAAUUUCUGCCCUAUCAACUUUUGAUGGUAGGAUAGAGGCCUACCAUGGUGGUAACGGGUGACGGAGAAUUAGGGUUCGAUUCCGGAGAGGGAGCCUGAGAAACGGCUACCACAUCCAAGGAAGGCAGCAGGCGCGCAAAUUACCCAAUCCUGAUACAGGGAGGUAGUGACAAUAAAUAACAAUACCGGGCCUUUGGUCUGGUAAUUGGAAUGAGUACAACCUAAACACCUUAACGAGGAUCAAUG